GCCCUGGGUCCCAUGGGCCAGGGGUAAAAGGGUGGCUGGAGCCCCUGGUGGGGCUGGCAAGAGGCUGAGUCCCAGCCAGGGACAUGGAGUUCUCCAUGGCUUCGGAGCUGAGUUUCCUUUUCCUGCCCUGGAGCAGACAGAGGCACUCAACCCGGGCCGAGCUUGGGCUGAGCAGGGCUAACGGAAGUAUGUCCCGGGGGUCCAUGCAGGGGGCAGGUGUCAGGGAUGCCCCAGCCACCACCUGGUGUUCUGUCCCUGCUGCUCCCAUUAGUACAAAGACGAGCUGCGUGCCCAUAAUUCCACGUUUACGCUGACUCCUCCAGUGCCUCAUCAAUGAAGUAAGCAGGUACAGUCAUACAUCAGUGAAGUAAGCAGGGAGUCCCCAGCCCAGGGACCCUCCUGCCCCACACUCCCUGCAUCCCCCAGCCCUC
rnacentral:lncRNA from 1 species